rnacentral:miRNA from 14 species
CCUCCACUGGCGUUGGGAGUGGACUCUGGGCCUUUGCACAUGCGGAACGAGCGUGCCCUGAGCCUCUGGGCUCUGCCUCCAGCCCC